UACGGAGGGUGCAAGCGUUAUUCGGAUUCACUGGGCGUAAAGCGCGCGUAGGUGGCCAAUUAAGUCAAAUGUGAAAUCCCCGAGCUUAACUUGGGAAUUGCAUUCGAUACUGGUUGGCUAGAGUAUGGGAGAGGAUGGUAGAAUUCCAGGUGUAGCGGUGAAAUGCGUAGAGAUCUGGAGGAAUACCGAUGGCGAAGGCAGCCAUCUGGCACAACACUGACGCUCAGGUGCGAAAGCGUGGGGAGCAAACAGG
rnacentral:rRNA from 1 species